AAUGAACGCUGGCGGCAGGCCUAACACAUGCAAGUCGAACGGGUCCUUCGGGACUAGUGGCGGACGGGUGUGUAACGCGUGGGAACGUGCCCUUUGCUACGGAAUAGCCUCUGGAAACGGAGAGUAAUACCGUAUGUGCCCUUUGGGGGAAAGAUUUAUCGGCAAAGGAUCGGCCCGCGUUGGAUUAGGUAGUUGGUGGGGUAAUGGCCUACCAAGCCGACGAUCCAUAGCUGGUUUGAGAGGAUGAUCAGCCACACUGGGACUGAGACACGGCCCAGACUCCUACGGGAGGCAGCAGUGGGGAAUCUUAGACAAUAGGGGAAACCCUGAUCUAGCCAUGCCGCGUGAUCGAUGAAGGCCUUAGGGUUGUAAAGAUCUUUCAGGUGGGAAGAUAAUGACGGUACCACCAGAAGAAGCCCCGGCUAACUCCGUGCCAGCCGCCGCUGUAA
rnacentral:rRNA from 1 species